GACGAACGCUGGCGGCGUGCCUAACACAUGCAAGUCGUACGGGCGUUGGGGGGCAACUCUCAAGUCAGUGGCGAACGGGUGCGUAACACGUGAGCAACUUGCCCUAUGGUGGGGGAGUAGCCGGCCCAACGGCCGGGUAAUACCGCAUAUGGCGCUGAGGUCACCUGGCCUUAGUGGGAAAGCGGCCGCAAGGUCGCGCCAAAGGUGGGGCUCGCGACGUAUCAGCUAGUUGGCGGGGUAACGGCCCACCAAGGCUACGACGCGUAGCUGGUCUGAGAGGAUGGCCAGCCACAUUGGGACUGAGAUACGGCCCA
rnacentral:rRNA from 1 species